UCUGAAUCCCUGUCGGUGCCCAUCCAAUCCUACCGUUCUUCUACAUCUGCUAGCACCGCUUGUCCAGAGUCGCCGCGUUGUCCAACCAAGCCAGAGCCCAUAAUGACUUGUGGCUGUGCAGGUAAGCCUUGGGUCUUGAAAAUAUCCGUCCGUCUCUUUGAGCCUGGGUGAAGCUUUCCGCAAGAUGUCAUGGCCGUCUCCAGCAUCCCGGGUCAUCUACUGGUUUCUCUAGGGAGCCGAUCAACCGUCCUUCACCCAGAGUUGCAUUGCAUCACGUGGUCUUGAAAAUCUUGUCUUAACCGGUCUUGGUUAUUUAAUCAACCUCGCAUCACUCGUGUUAUGCACUCAACUGAAAUCCCGUCUACUCAAGCAUAGCAAUAUGAAAUUUGUCGUCCCGGGCCAAGUAUCGGGGUUGUUGGGUGCCUACCACAUGAUACUAUAAUAUGUAACCAAAAUUUCCAAGUACCUAGUCAGCAUGCAAUUGGGCAUAGGAUGGUAGAACUACGAUGCAUAAAACAUAGGUGAUACAUGAUCAAAUGACUUGCCUGGUAUUACUUGAUGAAGAUAGUCGCUCUCAAAAUCCUGAUAAUUCUACUCGCCACACUCCGAGCAAUCUAUCGUAAACGAAUAGCAUUAAAUAAACAUUCAUGCCAAAAAGGAAGAACCAAGAGAACAUAAGAACAAAGCAUGUCUUGGUGCAAAAUAACAACGUACUAAGGUUUAAUAAAAGGUCCUAAGUGUGUUGUAAAGUAAAGGUGCAUGAAUGAGAUCAAAAGAGUUAAAGGACGAUGAACUAUUGCUAUAUAAGUUUGACUUUCAUACACUAUGGGAGAUGAUCAAAAAUAUUGUGAGAACAACAUGAAUGUUCUUUGACAAAUAGUAUA
rnacentral:lncRNA from 1 species